CCUACGGGAGGCAGCAGUGGGGAAUUUUGGACAAUGGGGGCAACCCUGAUCCAGCCAUGCCGCGUGCGGGAAGAAGGCCUUCGGGUUGUAAACCGCUUUCGGACGGAAAGAAAUCGCUCUCUCUAACAUAGGGGGUGGAUGACGGUACCGUAAGAAGAAGCACCGGCUAACUACGUGCCAGCAGCCGCGGUAAUACGUAGGGUGCGAGCGUUAAUCGGAAUUACUGGGCGUAAAGCGUGCGCAGGCGGUUUUUUAAGCCAGACGUGAAAUCCCCGGGCUUAACCUGGGAACUGCGUUUGGAACUGGAAGACUAGAGUACGGCAGAGGGGGGUGGAAUUCCACGUGUAGCAGUGAAAUGCGUAGAGAUGUGGAGGAACACCGAUGGCGAAGGCAGCCCCCUGGGCCUGUACUGACGCUCAUGCACGAAAGCGUGGGGAGCAAACAGGAUUAGAUACCCUAGUAGUC
rnacentral:rRNA from 1 species